UACGGAGGGUGCAAGCGUUAUCCGGAUUCACUGGGUUUAAAGGGUGCGUAGGUGGAUCGGUAAGUCCGUGGUGAAAUCCCCGAGCUUAACUCGGGAACUGCCGUGGAUACUAUCGAUCUUGAAUACUGUGGAGGUAAGCGGAAUAUGUCAUGUAGCGGUGAAAUGCUUAGGUAUGACAUAGAACACCGAUAGCGAAGGCAGCUUGCUACACAGUUAUUGACACUGAGGCACGAAAGCGUGGGGAGCAAACAGG
rnacentral:rRNA from 1 species